CCUACGGGAGGCAGCAGUAGGGAAUCUUUCACACUGGGAGAAAGCCUGAUGGAGCAACGCCGCGUGCAGGAUGCAGGCCUUCGGGUUGUAAACUGCUUUUAUAAGCGAGAAAUAUGAUGGUAACUUAUGAAUAAGGAUCGGCUAACUACGUGCCAGCAGCCGCGGUCAUACGUAGGAUCCGAGCAUUAUCCGGAGUGACUGGGUGUAAAGAGUUGCGUAGGUGGCAUAAUAAGUAGCUAGUGAAAUCUGGUGGCUCAACCAUUCAGACUAUUAGCUAAACUGUUAAGCUCGAGACCGUUAGGGGUAACUGGAAUUGCUAGUGUAGGAGUGAAAUCCGUAGAUAUUAGAAGGAACACCAAUAGCGUAGGCAGGUUGCUGGGACGGUUCUGACACUAAGGCACGAAAGCGUAGGGAGCAAACGGGAUUAGAUACCCCAGUAGUC
rnacentral:rRNA from 1 species